UCGCAAUCCGCCAGCCCGGUGAAGCCGGGGUCGCGGAAGGUUUGGCAACCCAUCGGAGCCCGCGCAGACCGCAGGCGAAAGGUGAGCG
rfam:Rubrivivax sp. SCN 71-131 ABS84_C0014, whole genome shotgun sequence.